GACCUUUUUUUGUUACUUCUACCUCGCCUUUUCUUCUGUUGUCCCAUCUUAAAUCACCUGAGAAAAAUGAAAGAGUAAAGGGUUAAGUACACCGGAUGCAGAUAAGACAUUGAACACACUGUGGGAAACAGACAUAAAACAUAGAGAAGACAACAAGGAAUGAAAAU
rnacentral:sRNA from 1 species